rnacentral:rRNA from 1 species
UAAUGUAGUAGCUGCGGAAGGAUCAUUAUUGAAUUAAUGUAGAGUUGGUUGUAGCUGGCAUUUCCUUUAAUUUGGGGAUUGCAUGUGCACACCUUCUCUUUCAUCCACACACCCCUGUGCACUUGUGAGACAGAUUGCUUUUUGGAGGGGGAACUUUAUUGGACCCUUUCUUUUUGGCUCUCUGUCUACUUAAUUAAUAUAAACUCAAUUUAUUUUAAAAUGAAUGUAAUGGAUGUAACACAUCUAAUACUAAGUUUCAACAACGGAUCUCUUGGCUCUCGCAUCGAUGAAGAACGCAGCGAAAUGCGAUAAGUAAUGUGAAUUGCAGAAUUCAGUGAAUCAUCGAAUCUUUGAACGCACCUUGCGCUCCUUGGUAUUCCUUGGAGCAUGCCUGUUUGAGUAUCAUGAAAUCUUCAAAGUAAUAUCUUUUGUUAAUUCAAUUGGUUUUGCUUUGGUAUUGGAGGUCUAUUGCAGCUUCACACCUGCUCCUCUUUGUUCAUUAGCUGGAUCUCAGUGUUAUGCUUGGUUCCACUCAGCGUGAUAAGUUAUCUAUCGCUGAGGACACUUUUUCUACUCUGUAAAAAGAGUUUGGGAGGGGUGGCCAAGGUAAAUGCAGAUGAACCGCUUCUAAUAGUCCAUUGACUUGGACAAUCAAUAUUUAUGAUCUGAUCUCAAAUCAGGUAGGACUACCCGCUGAACUUAAGCAUAUCAUAGGCGAACUUAAGCAUAUCAUAGGCCCGAA